CAGUCGCCGCGGGAAUACGAAGGGUGCAAGCGUUAUCCGGAUUCACUGGGUUUAAAGGGUGCGUAGGCGGAUCUGUAAGUCAGUGGUGAAAUCUCCAGGCUUAACCUGGAAACUGCCGUUGAUACUAUGGGUCUUGAAUUUUGUGGAGGUUAGCGGAAUAUGUCAUGUAGCGGUGAAAUGCAUAGAUAUGACAUAGAACACCAAUUGCGAGGGCAGCUGGCUACACAACUAUUGACGCUGAGGCACGAAAGCGUGGGGAUCAAACAGGAUUAGAUACCCCGGUAGUCCCUGUCUCUUAUAA
rnacentral:rRNA from 1 species